rnacentral:rRNA from 1 species
UACGUAGGGCGCAAGCGUUGUCCGGAAUUAUUGGGCGUAAAGAGCUCGUAGGCGGUCUGUCGCGUCUGGUGUGAAAUCCCAUGGCUCAACUGUGGGCUUGCAUCGGGUACGGGCAGACUAGAGUACUGUAGGGGAGACUGGAAUUCCUGGUGUAGCGGUGGAAUGCGCAGAUAUCAGGAGGAACACCGAUGGCGAAGGCAGGUCUCUGGGCAGUUACUGACGCUGAGGAGCGAAAGCAUGGGGAGCGAAC